rnacentral:rRNA from 1 species
GAACGCUAGCUACAGGCUUAACACAUGCAAGUCGAGGGGCAGCAUGGUCUUAGCUUGCUAAGGCCGAUGGCGACCGGCGCACGGGUGAGUAACACGUAUCCAACCUGCCGUCUACUCUUGGACAGCCUUCUGAAAGGAAGAUUAAUACAAGAUGGCAUCAUGAGUCCGCAUGUUCACAUGAUUAAAGGUAUUCCGGUAGACGAUGGGGAUGCGUUCCAUUAGAUAGUAGGCGGGGUAACGGCCCACCUAGUCUUCGAUGGAUAGGGGUUCUGAGAGGAAGGUCCCCCACAUUGGAACUGAGACACGGUCCAAACUCCUACGGGAGGCAGCAGUGAGGAAUAUUGGUCAAUGGGCGAGAGCCUGAACCAGCCAAGUAGCGUGAAGGAUGACUGCCCUAUGGGUUGUAAACUUCUUUUAUAAAGGAAUAAAGUCGGGUAUGGAUACCCGUUUGCAUGUACUUUAUGAAUAAGGAUCGGCUAACUCCGUGCCAGCAGCCGCGGUAAUACGGAGGAUCCGAGCGUUAUCCGGAUUUAUGGGGUUUAAAGGGAGCGUAGAUGGAUGUUUAAGUCAGUUGUGAAAGUUUGCGGCUCAACCGUAAAAUUGCAGUUGAUACUGGAUAUCUUGAGUGCAGUUGAGGCAGGCGGAAUUCGUGGUGUAGCGGUGAAAUGCUUAGAUAUCACGAAGAACUCCGAUUGCGAAGGCAGCCUGCUAAGCUGCAACUGACAUUGAGGCUCGAAAGUGUGGGUAUCAAACAGGAUUAGAUACCCUGGUAGUCCACACGGUAAACGAUGAAUACUCGCUGUUUGCGAUAUACUGCAAGCGGCCAAGCGAAAGCGUUAAGUAUUCCACCUGGGGAGUACGCCGGCAACGGUGAAACUCAAAGGAAUUGACGGGGGCCCGCACAAGCGGAGGAACAUGUGGUUUAAUUCGAUGAUACGCGAGGAACCUUACCCGGGCUUAAAUUGCAGAUGAAUUACGGUGAAAGCCGUAAGCCGCAAGGCAUCUGUGAAGGUGCUGCAUGGUUGUCGUCAGCUCGUGCCGUGAGGUGUCGGCUUAAGUGCCAUAACGAGCGCAACCCUUGUUGUCAGUUACUAACAGGUUCCGCUGAGGACUCUGACAAGACUGCCAUCGUAAGAUGUGAGGAAGGUGGGGAUGACGUCAAAUCAGCACGGCCCUUACGUCCGGGGCUACACACGUGUUACAAUGGGGGGUACAGAGGGCCGCUACCACGCGAGUGGAUGCCAAUCCCCAAAACCUCUCUCAGUUCGGACUGGAGUCUGCAACCCGACUCCACGAAGCUGGAUUCGCUAGUAAUCGCGCAUCAGCCACGGCGCGGUGAAUACGUUCCCGGGCCUUGUACACACCGCCCGUCAAGCCAUGGGAGCCGGGGGUACCUGAAGUGCGUAACCGCGAGGAGCGCCCUAGGGUAAAACUA